rnacentral:ribozyme from 1 species
UUUUUUUUUUUUUUUUUUUUUUUUUGUAAAGCGUUUGAAUCGACAGAAAGAGAGAGAGA